rnacentral:rRNA from 1 species
GUCGAGGGGCAGCGGGGCAGGAAGCUUGCUUUCUGCCGCCGGCGACCGGCGCAUGGGUGAGUAACACGUAUGCAACCUGGCCGUGACAGAUGGAUAACCGGGAGAAAUCCCGCCUAAUACAGCAUGACGCCGGGAAGGGACAUCCCUUUCCGGCCAAAGGGGGCGACUCCGGUCACGGAUGGGCAUGCGGCGCAUUAGGUAGUUGGUGGGGCAACGGCCCACCAAGCCGACGAUGCGUAGGGGUUCUGAGAGGAAGGUCCCCCACAUUGGAACUGAGACACGGUCCAAACUCCUACGGGAGGCAGCAGUGAGGAAUAUUGGUCAAUGGCCGGAAGGCUGAACCAGCCAAGUCGCGUGAGGGAAUAAGGCCCUACGGGUCGUAAACCUCUUUUGUCAGGGAGCAAGGCCGCCCACGUGUGGACGGAAGGAGAGUACCUGGAGAAAAAGCAUCGGCUAACUCCGUGCCAGCAGCCGCGGUAAUACGGAGGAUGCGAGCGUUAUCCGGAUUUAUUGGGUUUAAAGGGUGCGUAGGCGGCCUGCCAAGUCAGCGGUAAAAUUGCGGGGCUCAACCCCGUACAGCCGUUGAAACUGCCGGGCUCGAGUGGGCGAGAAGUAUGCGGAAUGCGUGGUGUAGCGGUGAAAUGCAUAGAUAUCACGCAGAACCCCGAUUGCGAAGGCAGCAUACCGGCGCCCGACUGACGCUGAGGCACGAAAGUGCGGGGAUCAAACAGGAUUAGAUACCCUGGUAGUCCGCACAGUAAACGAUGAAUGCUAGCUGUCCG